GUCAGCAGGCAACCAUAAUCCAGAGCAACAAGUGCUUUGUUGGGAGAUACACAGAGCACUGUGAAGACUGACGAGAGGUAUCUAACCUUCUCCGGGGAGGUUAGUGCAGGCAAUAGGAAGACAGUAAGAAAGACCUGUAGCAAUUAUCUAGGGGGAGGAGAAUUUAAGGGUGUUGCCGGCAUAUGUGAAGGACCAGAGCCAAAAAGGACAGCAGGACACAUUGGUGAAUGAAAGGCGUUCCCUAGGACCGAAGCCUGAGCUCCAGGUGGGGAGCGGAUCUGACAGAACUGCUGGCCAGGUCGCAUCAAGCUCGUUGGUGUGGCAAACAGCAGGGAAGGAGGCCAGAGCAGAGCGGAGGAGCUCCGGCUUGAGGUUGUUGCCUUAACCUGGGAAGAGAAAACGGUGAAUGGUGCCCAUAACUGGGGCAAACAGCCCACAUCCAUUCGUUUCUAAUCUUGAUGGACUUCUUGGGCACAUGCUAGGUUGCAGGCGCUGGAGGAGAUGCCAAGAUGACUAAGCCUGUUUCCGGACUGAGGAAGCUCACUGUCUGUAAACUCUUUGAGGACAGGGGCUGUGUCUUUGGGACCGCAGGAUUUAGCUCAGCACCUGGUUGGAAAUGCUUCGGAGGGUCUCAAGAAACAGAAAGAAUGAUCUUGAAGGAUCUAUGAAGCAAUAUUUUUGGUGGGGAGUUCAGAGAGAGCAAAAGCAGGGGGAGGAGCAGCAGAGGGAGAGGGAGAAGCAGGCUACCUGCUAAGCAGAGAGCCCGAUGCGGGGCUCGAUCCCAGGACCCUGGGAUCAGGACCUGAGCCGAAGGCAGACACUUAACGACUGAGCCACCCAGGCGCCCCAGGUUGCAAAUUUCCUGUAAAUGUAAGUAUACUAAGGUGAGGGUAACUAAGGUGUAAGGUGUAUUUGUAUUUCAAUAAUGAGGAUGGGGGUGCCUGGCUGGCUCAGUCAGCAGAACGUGUGACUCUUGAUCUUGGGGUUGUGAGUUCAAGGCCCAUGUUGCGGGGAGCAUUUACUUAAUUAAAAAAAAUUUUAGGGGCGCCUGGGUGGCUCAGUUGGGUAAUGUCUGCCUUUGACCCAGGUUGUGAUCUUGCGGUCCUGGGAUCGAGCCCCGUAUCGGGCUCCCUGCUCAGCCAGGAGUCUGCUUCUCCCUCUCUCUCCUUCUGUAUCUCCCCCCACUCCCCUGCUCAUGCUCUCUCUCUGUCUCUCAACUAAAUAAAUAAAAUCUUUAAAAAAAUUUUUUGGGUGUCCCCCCAAUUUUUUUUUAAAUGAGGAUAAUUUGGGGGCAC